rnacentral:rRNA from 1 species
AAUGAACGCUGGCGGUAUGCCUAACACAUGCAAGUCGAACGGCAGCACAGUAAGAUCUUGCUCUUGCUGGUGGCGAGUGGCGGACGGGUGAGGAAUACAUCGGAAUCUACUUUUUCGUGGGUGAUAACGUAGGGAAACUUACACUAAUACCUCAUACUACCUACGGCUGAAAGCAGGGGAUCUUCGGACCUUGCGCGAUUGAAUUAGCCGAUGUCGGAUUAGCUAGUUGGCUGGGUAAAGUCCCACCAAGGCGACGAUGCGUAGCUGGUCUGAGAGGAUGAUCAGCCACACUGGAACUGAGACACGGUCCAGACUCCUACGGGAGGCAGCAGUGGGGAAUAUUGGACAAUGGGCGAAAGCCUGAUCCAGCAAUACCGCGUGGGUGAAGAAGGCCUUCGGGUUGUAAAGCCCUUUUGUUGGGAAAGAAAAGAAGUAGGUUAAUACCCCGCUGUUCUGACGGUACCCAAAGAAUAAGCAACGGCUAACUUCGUG